rnacentral:rRNA from 1 species
AGAGUUUGAUCCUGGCUCAGGACGAACGCUGGCGGCGUGCUUAAUACAUGCAAGUCGAGCGAGGUUAUCUAUUCAAAGUCCUUCGGGGCGGCGAAUUUUUAACCUAGCGGCGGACGGGUGAGUAACGCGUGGGCAACCUGCCCUAAAGCCCGGGAUAACAGUGGGAAACUACUGCUAAUACCGGAUGGUCUCCUUUUGUGGCAUCAUAAAAGGAGUAAAGGUUACGCUUUAGGAUGGGCCCGCGUCCCAUUAGCUAGUUGGUGAGGUAACAGCUCACCAAGGCGACGAUGGGUAGCCGGCCUGAGAGGGUGGACGGCCACACUGGGACUGAGACACGGCCCAGACUCCUACGGGAGGCAGCAGUAGGGAAUCUUGCGCAAUGGGGGGAACCCUGACGCAGCGACGCCGCGUGAGCGAUGAAGGCCUUCGGGUCGUAAAGUUCUGUCCUAUGGGACGAUAAUGACGGUACCAUAGGAGGAAGCCCCGGCUAACUACGUGCCAGCAGCCGCGGUAAUACGUAGGGGGCAAGCGUUGUCCGGAAUUAUUGGGCGUAAAGGGUGCGUAGGCGGCCUUUUAAGUCAGAUGUGAAAGCCCACGGCUUAACCGUGGGAUUGCAUUUGAAACUGGAGGGCUUGAGUAUCGGAGAGGGUAGUGGAAUUCCCAGUGUAGCGGUGAAAUGCGUAGAUAUUGGGAGGAACACCAGUGGCGAAGGCGACUACCUGGACGAAAACUGACGCUGAUGCACGAAAGCUAGGGGAGCAAACAGGAUUAGAUACCCUGGUAGUCCUAGCCGUAAACGAUGGGUACUAGGUGUAGGGGGUUUCGAUACCCUCUGUGCCGGAGUUAACGCAUUAAGUACCCCGCCUGGGGAGUACGUGCGCAAGCAUGAAACUCAAAGGAAUUGACGGGGGCCCGCACAAGCGGUGGAGCAUGUGGUUUAAUUCGAAGCAACGCGAAGAACCUUACCAGGUCUUGACAUCCCUUUGAUCGGUAUAGAGAUAUGCCUUCUCUUCGGAGCAGAGGAGACAGGUGGUGCAUGGUUGUCGUCAGCUCGUGUCGUGAGAUGUUGGGUUAAGUCCCGCAACGAGCGCAACCCUUGCUUUUAGUUGCCAUCAUUAAGUUGGGCACUCUAAAAGGACUGCCGGUGACAAACCGGAGGAAGGUGGGGAUGACGUCAAAUCAUCAUGCCC